UACGUAGGGAGCAAGCGUUGUCCGGAAUCAUUGGGCGUAAAGCGCGCGUAGGUGGCCUCAUAAGUCCGCUGUGAAAGUCCAAAGGCUCAACCUUUGAAAGCCGGUGGAUACUGUGAGGCUAGAGUACGGAAGAGGCGAGUGGAAUUCCUGGUGUAGCGGUGGAAUGCGCAGAUAUCAGGAGGAACACCAAUAGCGAAGGCAGCUCGCUGGGACGUUACUGACACUGAGGCGCGAAAGCGUGGGGAGCGAACAGG
rnacentral:rRNA from 1 species